CCCUUAGAUGUUCUGGGCCGCACGCGCGCUACACUGAUGCAUUCAACGAGUUUCUUCCUGGUCCGAGAGGAACGGGUAACCUUUGCAAAGCACAUCGUGAUGGGGAUAGAUUAUUGCAAUUAUUAGUCUUGAACGAGGAAUUCCUAGUAAGCACAAGUCAUCAGCUUGUGUUGAUUACGUCCCUGCCCUUUGUACACACCGCCCGUCGCUCCUACCGAUUGAAUGUUCCGGUGAGCUCUUCGGACUGCGCGGUCUGCAGUUUCUGCGUUCCGUGCGGAAAGUUGCGCAAACCUUAACAUUUAGAGGAAGGAGAAGUCGUAACA
rnacentral:rRNA from 1 species